rfam:Oryza brachyantha chromosome 12, whole genome shotgun sequence.
AAUAACCUUAUUUUUCAUUUUUCCGUGUCCAACGUUUGACUAUUCGUUUUAUUUAAAAUUUUUUUGCGAUUAAUAUUUUUAUUGUUACUAGAUGAUAAAAUAUGAAUAAUACUUUAUACAUGACUAAUUUCUUUAAAUUUUUUAAUAAAUUUUUUAAAUAAGACGAAUGGUCAAACGUUGGACACGGAAAAACGAAGAAUGAGGUUAUU